UUUUGCUCUUUCUGCACUAACAUAGAAACUGCAAACCAUCUAUUUUUUACAUGUCCUCUUGCUCGAACAGUCUGGGGGACCCUGGGGCUCACGGCUGGAGCAUCCUGUUGCCCACGGUCUCUAUGGCAAAGUUGGGCGUGGUUAUAUAAAUUUUUCCCAGGUGGAAAAAGGUUCUACAUGAUGAUUAUUGCUGCUUUGUGUUGGGGGAUCUGGUGUCUUCGAAAUAAAGUCACUUUUGACAAAUAUAAUGCUCGUUCUCCACUGGAGGCUGUUUUCAGUGCAUGCUCUUUUAUGUUGUAUUGGGCAGGACUGCUGAAAGAAGAAGAUAGGUCGAAGUUUCAGGCGGGCGUGAAGAGAUUGGCUUAUGCGGCAGCAGCUCUGGCGGACAGGUCUCACUCGCGAGGUGUGAUACUUUUGAAGGAUGGAGAUGGGAUCCAGAUCGGCUAA
rnacentral:rRNA from 1 species